ensembl:lncRNA
GGAGAUGGUAGUAUGGCUGUGUGUGGUAGGGCUGGGAUAUAGGAUGGAGAUGGUGGUAUUGCUGUGUGUGGUAGGGCUGGGUUAGAGGAUGGAGAUGGCAGUAUGGCUGUGUGGUAGGGCUGGGAUAGAGGAUGGAGAUGGUAGUAUGGCUGUGUGUGGUAGGGCUGGGAUAGAGGAUGGAGAUGGUAGUAUGUCUGGGAUAGAGGAUGGAGAUGGUAGUAUGGCUGUGUGUGGUAGGGCUGGGUUAGAGGAUGGAGAUGGUAGUAUGGCUGUGUGUGGUAGGUCUGGGAUAGAGGAUGGAGAUGGUAGUAUGGCUGUGUGUGGUAGGGCUGGGAUAGAGGAUGGAGAUGGUAGUAUGGCUGUGUGUGGUAGGGCUGGGAUAGAGGAUGGAGAUGGUAGUAUGGCUGUGUGUGGUAGGGCUGGGAUAGAGGAUGGAGAUGGUAGUAUGGCUGUGUGUGGUAGGUCUGGGAUAGAGGAUGGAGACGGUAGUAUGGCUGUGUGUGGUAGGGCUGCGAUAGAGGAUGGAGAAGUCCAGCCUUAGAGAGAGAGAGUGUUUGUGUGUGUUUACUGUUAAGUCCAGCCUUAGAGAGAGAGAAGAGAGUGUUUGUGUGUGUUUACUGUUAAGUCCAGCCUUAGAGAGAAAGAGAAGAGAGAGAGAGAGAAGAGAGAGUGUUUGUGUGUGUUUACUGUUAAGUCCAGCCUUAGAGAGAGAGAGAAGAGAGAGUGUUUGUGUGUGUUUACUGUUAAGUAAUGUUUAUGUAAGAUGUCUCCCCGCCUCUUCGAUGGGAUUGAGAGGCUUGUUGAAGAUUUAUCAGCAAAGACAGGCAAUAAAGAGAUGAUGUCCUUAUAACACGGACCUUAUAUAAGGAGCUCUCUCUCUUUGUUUGUCUGUCUCUGUCUCUGUCUUUCCCUCUAUGGCCUUGAGUGGAAUAUGCAGACAACGUCUAUGCAGAUAACGUCUAGGCAGUCAAAAGUUAUAUUGGAGAUGUACUGUAUAUCAUAAAGGCAGAAGUUUUCCUCUUGAUGCUGUCCACAGUGUUGUUAUGUGUGGUGAUGAAUGUUGAAUCGUUGUGUACAUUUUGUGUGUGUAAUGUACAGUAACUGAUGUGUUUGCAUAAAGGUGUGUGUUUAUGUGUGUGUAUGUGCUUAAGGGUAUAUGUGGUUGAUUGGGAUCUGUACAUGAUAUGUAUUCG